UACGUAGGUGGCAAGCGUUGUCCGGAUUUACUGGGCGUAAAGGGCUCGUAGGCGGCGCAACAAGUCACUUGUGAAAUCUCCGGGCUUAACCCGGAGCGGUCAAGUGAUACUGUCGUGCUAGAGUGCGGAAGGGGCUACUGGAAUUCUCGGUGUAGCGGUGAAAUGCGUAGAUAUCGAGAGGAACACCUGCGGCGAAGGCGGGUAGCUGGGCCGACACUGACGCUGAUGCGCGAAAGCCAGGGGAGCGAACGGG
rnacentral:rRNA from 1 species